UACGAAGGGGGCGAGCGUUGUUCGGAUUUACUGGGCGUAAAGGGCAGGUAGGCGGUUUGAUGAGUCUGUUGUGAAAGCUCCCGGCUUAACUGGGAGAGGUCAACAGAUACUGUCGAACUUGAGUAUGGGAGAGGGUACUGGAAUUCCUGGUGUAGCGGUGAAAUGCGCAGAGAUCAGGAGGAACACCGAUGGCGAAAGCAGGUACCUGGACCAUUACUGACGCUCAGCUGCGAAAGCUAGGGGAGCAAACAGG
rnacentral:rRNA from 1 species